rnacentral:rRNA from 1 species
AGACAGCAGUCGCCGCGGGAAUACAGAGGGUGCGAGCGUUAAUCGGAUUUACUGGGCGUAAAGCGUGCGUAGGCGGCUUUUUAAGUCGGAUGUGAAAUCCCUGAGCUUAACUUAGGAAUUGCAUUCGAUACUGGGAAGCUAGAGUAUGGGAGAGGAUGGUAGAAUUCCAGGUGUAGCGGUGAAAUGCGUAGAGAUCUAGAGGAAUACCGAUGGCGAAGGCAGCCAUCUGGCCUAAUACUGACGCUGAGGUACGAAAGCAUGGGGAGCAAACAGGAUUAGAUACCCCAGUAGUCCCUGUCUCUUAUAC